AAGUCGUAACAAGGUUUCCGUAGGUGAACCUGCGGAAGGAUCAUUACAUGGCGGAGAAGGUGGGCACCUGGCCGAAAAACUCCAGGUUGUGAUGCCUUCACGCUCUUCCACCCUUGUCUAUUUGCACCUUUUGUCGUUCCCUCGGCGGGUUUCGACCCGCCGGCGGUAACCAUUGAAAACCCUUUUUGCAGUUUAGCAUCCAAUUCUUCUGAUCAAAUAUCAAAUCGUUACAACUUUCAACAAUGGAUCUCUUGGUUCUG
rnacentral:misc_RNA from 1 species